GCCCAACUGGCUCUGACGGUAGAGCAUUGGACUCUUGAUUUCAGGGUUGUGAGUUUGAGCUCCACGUUGGGUG
rnacentral:tRNA from 1 species